rnacentral:rRNA from 1 species
GUGAGGAAUAUUGGUCAAUGGACGAGAGUCUGAACCAGCCAAGUCGCGUGAAGGAAGACGGUUCUAUGAAUUGUAAACUUCUUUUGUGCAGGAAUAAAGUGGGUUACGUGUAACCUUUUGUAUGUACUGUACGAAUAAGGAUCGGCUAACUCCGUGCCAGCAGCCGCGGUAAUACGGAGGAUCCGAGCGUUAUCCGGAUUUAUUGGGUUUAAAGGGUGCGUAGGUGGAUUGAUAAGUCAGCGGUGAAAGUUUGCAGCUUAACUGUAAAAUUGCCGUUGAAGCUGUCGGUCUUGAGUGCAAAUGAGGUAGGCGGAAUGUGUUGUGUAGCGGUGAAAUGCUUAGAUAUAACACAGAACUCCGAUUGCGAAGGCAGCUUACUGGGAUGCAACUGACACUGAGGCGCGAAAGUGUGGGGAGCAAACAGGAUUAGAAACCCCAGUAGUCC